AGCUUUGUAGUUUAUGUUAAAAAUUUUUGUUUGUGGUACGAAAGAUUAGUGAGCUA
rnacentral:tRNA from 1 species